rnacentral:rRNA from 1 species
GACGAACGCUGGCGGCGUGCCUAAUACAUGCAAGUAGAACGCAGUUGCGCACGGGUGAGUAACGCGUAGGUAACUGCCUCAUAGCGGGGGAUAACUAUUUGAAACAAUAGCUAAUACCGCAUACUGUAAGCUGGCCCUGCGUUGUAUUAGCUAGUUGGUGGGGUAAAGGCACACCAAGGCGACGAUCCAUAGCCGACCUGAGAGGGUGAUCGGCCACACUGGGACUGAGACACGGCCCAGACUCCUACGGGAGGCAGCAGUAGGGAAUCUUCGGCAAUGGACGGAAGUCUGACCGAGCAACGCCGCGUGAGUGUAGAAGGUUUUCGGAUUAUAAAGCUCUGUUGUUAGAGAAGCGGUAACUAAACAGAAAGGGACGGCUAACUACGUGCCAGCAGCCGCGGUAAUUC